UCAUUCAAAAUCUGGGAAAUGCCUCCUCACCUUACUCUGAGGGUCUCAAUUACUCUGGUGUUUAAAAUAGGUUACUGCCAUCUAGUUCGUAAGUCUAACAGAAGGCAAGAAGUGUGCAAAUUGCAAACUGACGUGCAGAAGCCAAACGUAGCUCUGAAAUGACAACGUUCAAGACGCAGCUAAAGUCACCACUCUGUCGGGAAGCAUGGUACAAAGAAGUAGAUUUCCUUCUGGCAUCCGCAACUUGGCUGGAGUGACCAAGGAGUUGAAGAGCCUCUGCAAAUGCGAGGUGAUGGAGACUCAUAGGAAGAAGCACAUGGUCCAUUGCCUCAGGAGGACUUAGGGACCAAUCCAAGCAACAAACAGAAGAACCUUCAAGCAGAAUAAAACUGCUCAGAAAAAAACACUGUCUUUGGAAGGCGGAGUGAAGGUCGGGAUAAGCCCAGUUUCAGAGGAAAGCAAGGCAGUGGCAGAUGCUGUGGCAGCAGAGGAAAACGCAAGCCGUGAGUGUGGAACAGUUUGGAAGGCUUUUGGCCAACAAUGUAGAACAUGCCGGAACUUGAUUUACCUUCUCCUUGGAUAUGAAGUGUCCACUUCGGGUCUGCUUCUCUGCAGAGUGGCCUGCUGCACACGGGUUGAUGCUCCAGGAUAAAAAUGGAAUCUUUCCCAACGAGACUCUCACUGAGCAGGAAAAUGGCACUGCUUCCUAACAGCGAGGAAAUCCACAUUUCAGUUGGGAGGAAGUGGUCCGGAAACUCUUGAGUAGUAGGGCACUGGCCUGAGUGGGUAUACUGCUGAAC